CACUCUGGAAGGACUGCCAUCGACAAGAUGGAGGAAGGUGGGGAUGACGUCAAGUCAUCAUGGCCCUUAUGUCCAGGGCGACACACGUGCUACAAUGGCCGGCACAACGGGAAGCGAGUUCGCGAGGACAAGCGGAUCCCUUAAAGCCGGUCGCAGUUCGGAUUGAAGUCUGCAACUCGACUUCAUGAAGCUGGAAUCGCUAGUAAUCGUGGAUCAGCCAAGCCGCGGUGAAUACGUUCCCGGGCCUU
rnacentral:rRNA from 1 species